rnacentral:SRP_RNA from 1 species
GCCCAGCGCGGUCGUGUGUGCCUGUAGUCCCAGCUACUCUGGUGGCUGAGAUGGGAGGAUCGCUUGAGCCCAGGAGUUCUGGGCUGUAGUACACUAUGCCGAUCGGGUGUCUGCACUAAGUUCAGCAUCAAUAUGGUGGCCUCCUGGAAGCGGGUGACCCAUCAGGUCACCUAAGGAGGGGUAUACCAGCCCAGGUUGGAAACAGAGCAGGUGAAAACUCCCGUGCUGAUCAGUAGUGGGAUUGCACCUGUGAAUAACUACACACCAGCCAGGCAAUGUAGCAAGACCCUGUCUCCU